AAAGGAAUAGACGGGGGCCCGCACAAGCGGAGGAACAUGUGGUUUAAUUCGAUGAUACGCGAGGAACCUUACCCGGGAUUGAAAUGGAGAGGAAUGUGUAUGAAAGUACGCAGUCAGCAAUGACCUCUUUGUAGGUGCUGCAUGGUUGUCGUCAGCUCGUGCCGUGAGGUGUCGGCUUAAGUGCCAUAACGAGCGCAACCCUGACUGUCAGUUGCCAUCAGGUAAAGCUGGGGACUCUGACGGGACUGCCGGCGUAAGCUGUGAGGAAGGCUGGGAUGACGUCAAAUCAGCACGGCCCUUACAUCCGGGGCGACACACGUGUUACAAUGGUGAGGACAAAGGGCAGCUACCGGGUGACCGGAUGCCAAUCUCGAAACCUCAUCUCAGUUCGGAUCGGAGUCUGCAACCCGACUCCGUGAAGCUGGAUUCGCUAGUAAUCGCGCAUCAGCCAUGGCGCGGUGAAUACGUUCCCGGGCCUUGUACACACCGCCCGU
rnacentral:rRNA from 1 species